CUGGGGCACUUCCGCUCCCCUUCCCGCGUCUAAUGUCGUGAGUUCUCGCGAUGAGGGCUCCGCGGCCUGGAAACCCGCCUAACGCGGAGGUGAAAGCGCCCGGGACGAACACCGAGCAGGUUUGGCCGAAUAGAGCAAUGGACUGGAAGACCAUUCAAACUUUCUUCCAACAUAAACUUUGAUAAUUAUCCUUGUAAUCAUCCUGUAAGACGCCUGCCCUACUCCUCCAGGAAGGCCCGGAGCAGAUAAAGGGCAAGUCUGCUGUGGGUCUACAAGACAGGACAUCUCUGUGGACACUAGAAGCAUCUUUCAGAGCCCAAGAUACUCGACAACAGAGACUCUGGGAAAGUAGGUGUUCCUCCACCAUGACGUCCAGCCAGGUGCACCGUGGUUACAGGGAAACUGGACUUCCACCUGAGGGCCGUGGGAGCCGUUGAAGGGUUGGAGCUGGGGGAGCCAAGAUCUCAUCUGUGCUUGAGAGAGACCAUCCUCCCUGCAGGCUCAGAGGUGCUGAGAGGAGACAAAGCCGGAG